CCUACGGGUGGCAGCAGUGAGGAAUAUUGGUCAAUGGACGAGAGUCUGAACCAGCCAAGUAGCGUGAAGGAUGACUGCCCUCUGGGUUGUAAACUUCUUUUAUAUGGGAAUAAAAUGUUCCACGUGUGGGAUUUUGUAUGUACCAUAUGUAUAAAGAUCGGCUAACUCCGUGCCAGCAGCCGCGGUAAUACGGUGGAUCUGAGCGUUGUCCGGAUUUAUUGGGUUGAAAGGGAGCGUAGGUGGGUUGUUAAGUCAGUUGUGAAAGUUUGGGGCUCAACCGUAAGAUUGCAGUUGAUACUGGCAGUCUUGAGUACAGUAGAGGUGGGCGGAAUUCGAGGUGUAGCGGUGAAAUGCUUAGAUAUAACGAAGAACUCCGAAUGCGAAGGCAGCUCACUGGACUGCAACUGACACUGAGGCUCGAAAGUGUGGGUAGCAAACAGGAUUAGAUACCCCAGUAGUC
rnacentral:rRNA from 1 species